AACGAACGCUGGCGGCAUGCCUAACACAUGCAAGUCGAACGAAGGCUUCGGCCUUAGUGGCGCACGGGUGAGUAACGCGUGGGAAACUGCCUAUUGGUGGGGAAUAACGACGGGAAACUGUCGCUAAUACCGCAUAAGCCCUUCGGGGGAAGGGUUUAUCGCCGUUAGAGGUGCCCGCGUCCGAUUAGCUAGUUGGUGAGGUAAUGGCUCACCAAGGCGACGAUCGGGAGCUGGUCUGAGAGGGUGAUCAGCCACACUGGGACUGAGACACGGCCCAGACUCCUACGGGAGGCAGCAGUGGGGAAUAUUGGACAAUGGGCGAAAGCCUGAUCCAGCAAGGCCGCGUGAGGGAUGAAGGCCUUAGGGUUGUAAAGCUCUUUCGGGUGGGACGAUGAUGACGGUACCACCAGAAGACGCCCCGGCUAACUUCGUGCCAGCCGCCGCGGUAA
rnacentral:rRNA from 1 species